CCUGGGAGGCAAUUGGGUAUUAUAGGAGUCACUACAGCAGCUGGCAUGUGCUUACUUGCUGGUCAAGUAGAGGGAAGCCUUCAGGGAGGGGGAAUUUCUGAACCUCUUAAUUGAAGAGAGAAAAGAGGGCAUGUGAUGGGAGAGGCGAGGUGGGACAGGGCUCGGGGAAGAUGAAUAAAAGGGAAGAACAGGAAGAGGAAAACAGUAGAAAAGGUUCAGCUAGAAUAAGAGGUUAAGGGCUUAUUUUGAACACAAGAUAUUUUAGGGCUGGCUUCAGCCUGGUCAAUUCUAACUCAGCCCAGUCAUCACCCCCAUGUGUUUAUGACCAUGCAAUCACAUAUCUGGAGGUGCACUCCAACAAGCUUCCCGUCCCUCCCAGCCACCUACCGGUUGUACGUCCAGAGGCGUAGAGGGACAGCACUGCCUGGAUAGCCACAUACAUGGCUGGGACAUUGAAAGUCUCAAACAUAAUCUGCAAAGCAAUCCAAAGAGCUGAGUAAGUGAAGGUGCCCAUCUGACAAAGAAUGGUCAGGAGGGUACACCUGGUUGAUGGAUGCAGAGGGGCCUGACCCAUUCUGGGCAGAGGAGGCCAAAGUAAGAAGGAUCAGAACAUCCCUGGUCACGUAAAGAAGAGAAAUGAAGGUGUGAAUGGGGAACCAUGACAUUAGUGACCUGGCAGGGUGGGAAGCAGAAGAAGCAGUGUGCACACAGGCUUGGCCAAGGGAAAGGAACGUCUAGCUUCUGGCUCUGAUCCUGGCUUUGACUAAUAGUCACCAAAGUAACAGUUAACUAAUAGUGGCAUCAUUCCAGGUCUCUUAACUGUACACAGAGGAGGAGCUUGGACUAAAUGGGCUCUCCAGCUUUUCCAGUGUAGACAACCUAGGGUUUGUUAACUAUAUCAAGGCCAGAAGAAAAAGAGAAGAUAACAUCCAGGUUUUGAUUUCUCUGCUAUAAACAAAGAGAUCUUUUAACUCUGAAGUUCAGACUGACUGGGAUUAGCCCCAUUUCUGUGAUUUGCCUGAGGUUCCAUUUAAUCUGUCCCACUUUUUUAUAUAGUGUGGGUCAGUGCUGACUCUAGAAUCUGAGGCCAUUCUGACUGCAGUGGGAGAGGCCUUGAAUCCUGGAAGACAGGAACUGCCCACUGGUAACAGAGGACCACACAGACAGUCAAUGCCCCAGUUCAUGUAGUCCAGGGACAAGAUUAGAACUCAAGCCCCUCCAGGUCACUGGUGAGAAGUUUGUGAAUCAGGAGAUGUCCAGGGGUCUUCAUUUCUCCAUCUGUAAGACCUUUCCUGCUCUAUUACCCAGAAUGUCUGACAUCAUUUGCUAGCGAAGCAUAAUUUCCAAUCUUUUUUUGUUUUUUGCCCUCACACCAUUCUCAGGAGCAAUAAGUCAUCAGAAGCAACAUCUCUUGCUACAUGCAGUGAUUCUCAGGCACACAGAUGUUCCCCUGUGGAGAACACGUGCUAGUGUGUUGGUACAAGCACCAGGAGCUACUCUGAGGGAAAGGCUUUGCAGUUAUUUACAUUUAUGAUUCUCCAAUGCUGGAAGAUCAUGGAUCAAUCCCAGGCUCUGCCAGUUCUAGCUGUGUGACCCUGGAAGAAUCACUUAAUGUAUCUGAGCCUUGAUUUCUUCAUUUAUGUAAUCAGUAUAAUCAUAGAUCCUGCUUCACAUUGCUAGAACUUAAAGAGACAGUGAAUGUAAAAUGCUGAGCCUAGUACUUGACCAUAGCAAGUAUAGAAUUGACAUUAGAUGCUGUUAUUUAAUAGCUCAUCCAAACUAGAAAACUCCUCUGUCUGGUGGACUGGAUGGGAUUGUAUUCUAAGGUUUUGAGCUUCAGACAAAUAACAAUAAUGACAAUGAUUAUUAUUAUUUGUUGGGUGUUUAUUAGGCACCAUGUGACACAUCCGUCAUUUCACCUCAUUAAUGUUCAUAUCAAUCCUUUGAAAAAUGAUAAUAUUACUCCCAACUUAUAAACAAGAAAACUGAGGCUCUGGGAAAUUAACUGGGUUCUUUAAGGUCACACAACUAAUAAGACAUAUCCUAGAUAUGCCUGACUCCAGAACCCAAAUUCCUAUUGUAUGUGAUGCUACAUUUUGAAGUGACUUCUCCUUAGACAUUUUAACUUUAACAUAGCCCCUUUUCAAUGAAAUAUUUUAAAUUUCCUAUUGCUUUUUGAGGCAACGGGCUGGUCCCUGCAAGAAGGCUGCAAGUACCAUCAAGCUGUUUCUGUUCUUUGGAAUCCCUGAGUUCACUGAAGGUUGUUAGUCUGUUGGUGGACUGCUGGCCCUGGCCUUCUCUCUGCUGCCCUGCAUAGCUCCUUUCUAACAGAACAUUCCCCAGAUCCCAAAGUGUUGAGUGCUGGGGUAGAUACUUACCUGGGUCAUUUUCUCCCGGUUGGCCUUGGGGUUCAGGGGUGCCUCUGUGAGCAGAGUUGGAUGCUCUUCAGGGGCAACACGAAGCUCAUUGUAGAAAGAGUGGUGCCAGAUCUGGUGAGUUGGGGAACAGAGGAGAAUCACAAUGGUGUGCUAUCGUGAGGCCCUGCAUUUCCCAAAAAGGGACCAGAAGCUACCAGAAACCAAGACCAAAGGAAAUGCUACAAGUAUUCAUUAUGUGUCCAUGGUUUUAUAGAUGCAGAGACUGAAGCUCAAAGUGUGUAAGUACCUUCUUGAAGGAUUCACAUCUAGUGAGCAGAAUCCCUAACCCAGAUCUGUGAGGCAAGAUAGUACAGUGGUUAAGGGCACAAAUCUUGGCCCAACUUGGCUAUUUCAUGGAUGUAUGAGCUUAGGCAAGUUUUUAACCCUUCUCAGCUCCAGUCUCAUGAUUGGUAAUAGGAAGAUGAAAAUACUUAGUGUGUAACUCAUUGGGUCUUUGUACAAAUAAAUAAGGUAACCCUUAAGUUAUUGUUUAGCCCAGUGCCUGGCCAAGAAUCAAUGUUAUUAUCAUUCAACUCUAUUUUCUUUGUUAUCUCUUUCCAUUUUAGUUAAUGUUCAUGGGAAAAUGAUUUAAUUUUGUAAAUAAAAAGACAAAUGAAUGCAUACAUGAAUAAAUGAAGCUUACUUGAAAACCUAAUCACCACUUUUAAUGCUUCUAGAGAAGUUGGCCUUUGCAAUGUACAUGGAGAAGAGAACUGAGCUCCUUGCCUCUUGCCUCCAUGAGAGUCAAGAUGAAAAAGGCUUCCUCUAUCAGCACACUUUGGAUCUUCCACUCCCAGUCAGACAUUUGGCCUUAGGUGUUUCCAAAAGACCUAUUCCUGUGUAUAGUGUAUCUAUGUGAAGGUACUUUGGACAUAAUUACAUUUGCUUUAUGGUUGGGCACUCUCUUUAAUUCCUGGAUGCCAAAAAGAAACCAUUGCAAAAAGGACUAAAUUAAUUAAUCUUUAAAAGCAUGAAAAUUCUCCACCAAAGCCAGGAAUAUGAGAUUCAUCCAAAACUAAAACAGAGCAAAACAAGAACUGCUGGUAAAAGCUUAUAAAUUAGCAAAAACAAGAUUAGCUUUAAAGACUAUCUUAUUCCAGUUUCUCUUGUUUUGGAUUUGUGGUUUCUAGAAAGGAAAUGAAACUUCUAAAAGUUUUGUUUCUUUGGUGGAGUCAAAGCAGCAGAAUGCUUAAGAAAUCCUGCCAGUCACAACAAGCACCCCUUCUCCUUCUCCCUCUCUUUCUCUUCACCCCCACCAGAAGGUACUUUGAAUUUAAAUUUUAGAAAUAAGAAAUUUUUUGUUGUUCCAAUAUUCUCUCCCUAGGAGGAUACAUUCUAAGAUGCUAUCAGCUCCAUGGAGAAAUUCUAAAAGAGUAUUUUCCUACUGAUUUUAAUAUUUUUUUCUCUGUGCACACUGGGAAAUCUUACCAAAUCUAGAAUCCUCAAUUAAGCAAAUCUACUGAUAUGUAAUUUUUAUAGAAAGAUAGAGGUUGAAGCAUUACUAUUGAUAAAUUCUAGUAACAUUAUAUAUUUUUCUUUUGUGUGUGUGUAUGUGUGUGUAGCAGUGAGCUAAUAGAUAAAUAAAAGGCCAGAUGUUGUGAUUCUGA